UACGUAGGGUGCAAGCGUUAAUCGGAAUUACUGGGCGUAAAGCGUGCGCAGGCGGUUUUGUAAGUCAGAUGUGAAAUCCCCGGGCUUAACCUGGGAACUGCGUUUGAAACUACAAGGCUAGAGUGUGGCAGAGGGGGGGUGGAAUUCCACGUGUAGCAGUGAAAUGCGUAGAGAUCAGGCAGGACACCUGGGGCGAAGGCGGCCAGCUGGGCCGUCCCUGACGCUGAGGCGCGCGAAGGCGUGGGGAGCGAACGGGG
rnacentral:rRNA from 1 species